GUAUUGAAGGUGAUGCCUGCCCGGUGAUCUGACUAAACGGCCGCGGUAUCCUAACCGUGCGAAGGUAGCGCAAUCAAUUGUCCCGUAAAUCGGGACACGUAUGAAUGGCUAAACGAGGUUCUAACUGUCUCUUACAGGCAAUCAGUGAAAUUGAUCUCCCUGUGCAAAAGCAGGGAUAAACACAUAAGACGAGAAGACCCUGUGGAACUUCAAAAUCAGCAGCCACCCCAAAUGACAUAUCAACCCACCCGGGCUCACUCACCUAACGGGCUACUGGCAUGCAAUUUUUCGGUUGGGGCGACCUUGGAGCAAAACAAAACCUCCAAAAAUUAGACCUAAAAUCUAGACUGAGAGCAACCCCUCAACGUGCUAAUAGCAACCAGAUCCAAUAUAAUUGAUCAAUGGACCAAGCUACCCCAGGGAUAACAGCGCAAUCUCCUCCAAGAGUCCAUAUCGACGGGGAGGUUUACGACCUCGAUGUUGGAUCAGGACAUCCUAGUGGUGCAGCCGCUACUAAGGGCUCGU
rnacentral:rRNA from 1 species